rnacentral:rRNA from 1 species
CCCGCACAAGCGGUGGAGUAUGUGGUUUAAUUCGAUGCAACGCGAAGAACCUUACCUGGUCUUGACAUCCCGGAGACCCUUAGGAAACUAGGGGGUGCUUCCAUCUGGAAGAAUCUGGAGACAGGUGCUGCAUGGCUGUCGUCAGCUCGUGUCGUGAGAUGUUGGGUUAAGUCCCGCAACGAGCGCAACCCUUGCCUUUAGUUGCCAGCAGUUCGGCUGGGCACUCUAAAGGGACUGCCGGUGUUAAACCGGAGGAAGGUGGGGAUGACGUCAAGUCCUCAUGGCCUUUAUGACCAGGGCUACACACGUACUACAAUGGCCGAUACAAAGGGCAGCGACACUGCGAGGUGAAGCCAAUCCCGUAAAAUCGGUCUCAGUCCGGAUUGGAGUCUGCAACUCGACUCCAUGAAGUUGGAAUCGCUAGUAAUCGUGGAUCAGCAUGCCACGGUGAAUACGUUCCCGGGUCUU